rnacentral:rRNA from 1 species
AGAGUUUGAUCAUGGCUCAGGAUGAACGCUGGCGGCAUGCCUAAUACAUGCAAGUCGAACGGAAUCUUAUAUGUUCCUCGUUUCGGAUUUAGUUCCGAGUUGGGGAACAAUAAGAUUUAGUGGCGGACGGGUGAGUAACACGUUGGUACCUACCCUCUAGUGGGGAAUAACUUCGAGAAAUCGAGGCUAAUACCGCAUAAUAUCUACGGAUUAAAGCAUUUAUGCGCUAGAGGAGGGGCCUGCGUCUGAUUAGCUUGUUGGUGAGGUAAAAAGCUCACCAAGGCGACGAUCAGUAGCUGGAUCGAGAGGUUGACCAGCCACACUGGGACUGAGAUACGGCCCGGACUCCUACGGGAGGCAGCAGUAAGGAAUCUUCCACAAUGGGCGAAAGCCUGAUGGAGCAAUGCCGCGUGCAGGAUGACGGCCUUCGGGUUGUAAACUGCUUUUAUAUGGGAAGAUUAUGACGGUACCAUAUGAAUAAGGACCGGCUAACUACGUG